rnacentral:rRNA from 1 species
UUGUCUCAAAGAUUAAGCCAUGCAUGUCUCAGUACAAGCCGAAUUAAGGUGAAACCGCGAAAGGCUCAUUAAAUCAGUUAUGGUUCCUUAGAUCGUACCUACAUUUACUUGGAUAACUGUGGUAAUUCUAGAGCUAAUACAUGCAAACAGAGCUCCGACCGGAGACGGAAGGAGCGCUUUUAUUAGAUCAAAACCAAUCGGCGGCGGGUUCGUUCGCGCGAGCCCGUCGUCGUUCGCCCUGGCGAAUCUGAAUAACUUUCUGCUGAUCGCACGGUCUCGCACCGGCGACGCAUCUUUCAAAUGUCUGCCUUAUCAACUGUCGAUGGUAGGUUCCGUGCCUACCAUGGUCGUAACGGGUAACGGGGAAUCAGGGUUCGAUUCCGGAGAGGGAGCCUGAGAAACGGCUACCACAUCCAAGGAAGGCAGCAGGCGCGCAAAUUACCCACUCCCGGCACGGGGAGGUAGUGACGAAAAAUAACGAUACGGGACUCAUCCGAGGCCCCGUAAUCGGAAUGAGCACACUCUAAACCCUUUAACGAGGAUCAAUUGGAGGGCAAGUCUGGUGCCAGCAGCCGCGGUAAUUCCAGCUCCAAUAGCGUAUAUUAAAGUUGUUGCGGUUAAAAAGCUCGUAGUCGAAUCUGUGUCCCGCGCCGCCGGUUCGUCGCUCGCGGCGUUUAACUGGCGUGCCCGCGGGACGUCCUGCCGGUGGGCGUCGGCUCCUUAACGGGGGCGGCCCAACUUAUAAUCCCGCCGCGGUGCUCUUCACCGAGUGUCGAGGCGGGCCGGCACGUUUACUUUGAACAAAUUAGAGUGCUUAAAGCAGGCUAAAACCUCGCCUGAAUACUUAGUGCAUGGAAUAAUGGAAUAGGACCUCGGUUCUAUUUUGUUGGUUUUCGGAACCCCGAGGUAAUGAUUAAUAGGAACGGAUGGGGGCAUUCGUAUUGCGACGUUAGAGGUGAAAUUCUUGGAUCGUCGCAAGACGGACGGAAGCGAAAGCAUUUGCCAAAAACG